rnacentral:misc_RNA from 1 species
GAUGAAGAACGUAGCGAAAUGCGAUAAGUAAUGUGAAUUGCAGAAUUCAGUGAAUCAUCGAAUCUUUGAACGCACAUUGCGCCCCUUGGUAUUCCGAGGGGCAUGCCUGUUCGAGCGUCAUUAUAACCCUCAAGCUCAGCUUGGUGUUGGGGCCUGCUGCACUGGCAGCCCUUAAAAUCAGUGGCGGCGCCAUCUGGCUCUAAGCGUAGUAAUUCUUCUCGCUAUGGAGUCCUGGUGGAUGCUUGCCAUCAACCCCCAAUUUUUCUAUGGUUGACCUCGGAUCAGGUAGGGAUACCCGCUGAACUUAAGCAAAUCAAUAAGCGGAGGA